GAUGAAGAACGUAGAAAUGCGAUAAGUAAUGUGAAUUGCAGAAUUCAGUGAAUCAUCGAAUCUUUGAACGCACAUUGCGCCCGUUAGCAUUCUAGCGGGCAUGCCUGUCCGAGCGUCAUUUCAACCCUCAGGGUCCCCGUUCCGGCGGGGAACCUGGUGUUGGGGAUCGGCCCGCCCCGUGCGGCGCCGUCCCCCAAAUUCAGUGGCGGUCUCGCUGCAGCCUCCCCUGCGUAGUAGUUACAACCUCGCAUCGGAGCUCAGCGCGGCCACGCCGUAAAACCCCCGACUUUCUGAACGUUGACCUCGGAUCAGGUAGGAAUACCCGCUGAACUUAAGCAUAUCAAUAAGCGGAGGA
rnacentral:misc_RNA from 1 species